UACAGGAUGGACCCGCGUCUGAUUAGCUAGUUGGUAAGGUAACGCCUUACCAAGGCGACGAUCAGUAGCCGACCUGAGAGGGUGAUCGCCCACAUUGGAACUGAGACACGGUCCAAACUCCUACGGGAGGCAGCAGUGGGGAAUAUUGCACAAUGGGCGAAAGCCUGAUGCAGCAACGCCGCGUGAGUGAUGAAGGCCUUCGGGUCGUAAAACUCUGUCCUCAAGGAAGAUAAUGACGGUACUUGAGGAGGAAGCCCCGGCUAACUACGUGCCAGCAGCCGCGGUAAUACGUAGGGGGCUAGCGUUAUCCGGAUUUACUGGGCGUGAAGGGUGCGUAGGCGGUCUUUCAAGUCAGGAGUGAAAGGCUACGGCUCAACCGUAGUAAGCUCUUGAAACUGGGAGACUUGAGUGCAGGAGAGGAGAGUGGAAUUCCUAGUGUAGCGGUGAAAUGCGUAGAUAUUAGGAGGAACACCAGUUGCGAAGGCGGCUCUCUGGACUGUAACUGACGCUGAGGCACGAAAGCGUGGGGAGCAAACAGGAUUAGAUACCCUGGUAGUCCACGCUGUAAACGAUGAGUACUAGGUGUCGGGGGUUACCC
rnacentral:rRNA from 1 species